GAUGAACGCUGGCGGCGUGCCUAAUACAUGCAAGUCGAGCGAACAGAUGAGGAGCUUGCUCCUCUGACGUUAGCGGCGGACGGGUGAGUAACACGUGGAUAACCUACCUAUAAGACUGGGAUAACUUCGGGAAACCGGAGCUAAUACCGGAUAAUAUAUUGAACCGCAUGGUUCAAUAGUGAAAGACGGUUUUGCUGUCACUUAUAGAUGGAUCCGCGCCGCAUUAGCUAGUUGGUAAGGUAACGGCUUACCAAGGCAACGAUGCGUAGCCGACCUGAGAGGGUGAUCGGCCACACUGGAACUGAGACACGGUCCAGACUCCUACGGGAGGCAGCAGUAGGGAAUCUUCCGCAAUGGGCGAAAGCUUGACGGAGCAACGCCGCGUGAGUGAUGAAGGUCUUCGGAUCGUAAAACUCUGUUAUUAGGGAAGAACAAAUGUGUAAGUAACUAUGCACGUCUUGACGGGACCUAAUCAGAAAGCCACGGCGAACUACGU
rnacentral:rRNA from 1 species